rnacentral:rRNA from 1 species
GAUGAACGCUGGCGGCGUGCCUAAUACAUGCAAGUCGAGCGAAUGGAUUAAGAGCUUGCUCUUAUGAAGUUAGCGGCGGACGGGUGAGUAACACGUGGGUAACCUGCCCAUAAGACUGGGAUAACUCCGGGAAACCGGGGCUAAUACCGGAUAACAUUUUGAACCGCAUGGUUCGAAAUUGAAAGGCGGCUUCGGCUGUCACUUAUGGAUUGACCCGCGUCGCAUUAGCUAGUUGGUGAGGUAAAGGCUCACCAAGGCAACGAUGCGUAGCCGAACUGAGAGGGUGAUCGGCCACCCUGGGACUGAGACACGGCCCAGACUCCUACGGGAGGCAGCAGUAGGGAAUCUUCCGCAAUGGACGAAAGUCUGACGGAGCAACGCCGCGUGAGUGAUGAAGGCUUUCGGGUCGUAAAACUCUGUUGUUAGGGAAGAACAAGUGCUAGUUGAAUAAGCUGGCACCUUGACGGUACCUAACCAGAAAGCCACGGCUAACUACGUGCCAGCCGCCGCCGUAA